rnacentral:rRNA from 1 species
UACCAGCACCCCGAGUGGUCGGGACGUUUAUUGGGCUUAAAGCAUCCGUAGCCGGUUCUACAAGUCUUCCGUUAAAUCCACCUGCUUAACAGAUGGGCUGCGGAAGAUACUAUGGAGCUAGGAGGCGGGAGAGGCAAGCGGUACUCGAUGGGUAGGGGUAAAAUCCGUUGAUCCAUUGAAGACGACCAGUGGCGAAGGCGGCUUGCCAGAACGCGCUCGACGGUGAGGGAUGAAAGCUGGGGGAGCAAACCGG